rnacentral:lncRNA from 10 species
AGCCACACUGGCAGCUGAUUAGAUUGUGCCCACCCAGAUUAUGAGUGGGUCUGAGACAAAGAUCUGGACAAACAUCUGAACACAGUUUCCUAUACCUCCUACUGGAAGUGUCCUGUAUAUGCCAUUUUUCACUAAAAAGGAGCAGACAGCAGCAAUAUGUAACUUCAAUCUGAAAUACGAAAUGCAAGAUGAGUCUGAAGUACAAAAAGACAAAAAGAUGCCAACCACUUCUGGGAAAGCUGAGUGAUGAUUCUGUGCACAGUUGAAGUUCACCUGGGCCAGUGUUGAUUGACUGCUAUUUGAAAACACAACGGUGUUGAAAUGCUACAAAAGAGAUACACCUUAUCUUGGACAGAGGUGGCAUCCAUUUUGGAAGGGGUGGCAGGUUUCACAGAUGGACACUGAAAGAGCUAUUAAAGCUUUACUUUUCCUGUUUAAAUAUAUCUUUAGCAACUGAGGAUGCCUCUGUCCUUAGGACAUGUCCCUUUUAGAAACCGCUUUUGACUUUUGAUAGUAUUCUCAUGAUUCCAGCCCCACCCCCAUCCUGGGAAUGUCAGUAUAUUUUUUACAAAAUACUUUGAAACAAAAUGAUGAAAUAGAGCAUUCCUCAUAAUUGUUGAAGCUAUUUAGCAUAGAAUUUUCACACUGUGAUUAGAAAUUCACAAGAAAGUGAGGUGCUAAUAACAGAGCAGGCAAAGAGCUCAUUGUUAGCAGUGAGUACAUCAUACUUAAAUGAAGUGACAAGCCUCUUCUUUUUGUCAGAAUUGUAUUUUUUCCAUAUGCUAACAAUUAGAUGACAUUGCUUUUGUGUUAAAUUUGCAGGAGGAUCCCACAUGGAACACAUACUUACGAGGUUUUAGCAUUUUCACCAUUACUCACAUUGUCUUACAUGUUUGAGGUGACUCAGUUCACAAUGCAAGCUCAUUUCUUAGUCUAGACUAGAAUUGCAGACAUUCAUUACAUAUAGGGACAUUGUUGUAACUUAAUAAAAUGAGCCAAAACAUUUAAAACUCUUUGACUCCAGAAAGAAAUAAAAAUUUUCACCAAAGCUCAAGAUACUGUAUCAGUUAAUGAAUAAUUCAAUCGAACUUAUUAAUAAAGUCACUUAACACUAAAUAACUUAGACUGAAUACAAUCUGGUUUUAAAUGAGGUUAAAAGUUUACAUUAAAGACUUAUUAAGGCUUACUGGCCUAUUGGUCUUCUAAUCUAGAUCUUUAGCUAAAAUUGAAUGUAGUAAAUUUCACUUUUUAAUUGGAAACCUUUGGGAGGUUGUAAGAUUUUAAUAAUCUUAAAUACAUUAUUUUUCAAUUUGGAAAUAAUUAACAGCAUUUGUCAUUCAUGAAAAUUUGUAUAUCAUUCAUAAUUUUAUUGCAAUUAAAUCCUCUCCUAGCA